UGUAAGUGCAAUAUUGUAGCAGCUAAAUUUAUGUAAAAAUGAUCAAUAAUAAAAAUGUACUCCUUUUUUUAGAUUUUUAAAGAAAACAGAAAAAAACAAAAAAAAAACAUGAUUAAUGAUUGUUGUGGCUCAAAUUUAGAUUUAUGUCAAAAAAUCGUAGCAAACUUUCCAUGUUAUUGAGCUGCAAAAGAAAUAAUCAAAAACGGAAAAAGUAAAGAAGUUCCACCUGAUAGAAAAGUUUUAAUUCUUGGACUAGAAUAGGAAUUAACUACCAAUGGUAAAAUUUGUGUAUCAAAAAAUAAUGGAUCUGAUGAUAGAAUGGUUAUAUUUGGAACUGUAGUUUUUCUUGAACGCUUAUGUCAUUCAAAAAUGUGGUAUAUGGAUGGUACAUUUGAAUCAUCACCAGAUUUGUUAGCUCAACUUUAUACGAUUCAUUGCUUUAUGUCUGAUAAGAUGUUUUCUGUAUUGUACUGUUUAUUGCGUGAUAAAAAAACAAUAACUUAUGUGAGGUUUUGUAACCUAUUAAAACAAGUAAUAAUGGAAAAUGGAGAACGAAGUUUCAUGCCUUUUAAUUGAUUUUGAAUCAGUAGUUGUAUCUGCAUAAUGCUUUUCAUAAAGAAAUGAAUAAGGGGUAUCUCUGGAAUAUCUCCUAACAUUUGUGAAUUUAUUACAAGUUUAAAACUACAUCAAGCAAGAAAAUCAAAACAAACAAAAAACUAUAAAUAUAAAUAAAUUCUAAUCCUUAGACGGCCAGCAAGUGAAGGGUUGUUGUCUUUGAUACAGUUAUAAAUAUAGCUGGUUUUAAAUUAAAAUUACAAGGAUAAAUAAUGCAUAUAUUUUAUCUAACAUUUUACAUAAUUUUUGUCUGACAUAAAAUUAUAUAAAUAUUACAAUAUAAAAUAUAAAUAUAGAUUUGAUAUUUAAAAUAUAAUUAAGAAUUGAUAACAAAGUUUAAUUACCUAAUUGAUAGGUAAUUAUUUGCUUAAGUAAAAAAAGUUAGAUCUUUUAGUAUUGAGUAUUCAGUUAUAAUUUAUGUUCAUUUUAUGUGUCAAAUGUAAAACAUAUUAUUAAAUAAAUAAUUUUUUAGUGA